GAGUAAUCAAGAUUGAUGUAAUAAUGGAGGAUAUUGAGUUUACUGUAUUGAUUACUACUGCAUUCAAUAAUAAUUUGCUGAAGCCUGGGCAUACUGUUUUGGAGCAUGUAUGAGAAUAGAAUUAAUGCCACGGAUAUGGGGACCUUUUAAGUUCAUAAAGGAGCUCUUUGAUCAAAGCACUUCCUGUGGAUCAAGGCCAGUGCUAGCCUGGCUGACAGUGAUGCACCUGGACGGCAGCACUUCAUACAGUAGAGACCAUGCCCACCUACAGGUAAGGGCAGCAGGAAGAGGAAUCCAGAACUAUUGGAAGAGC
rnacentral:lncRNA from 1 species